CAUGAUUCUCCCGCUCCAGACAGACACAGGUUAAGAUCCUCCCUGGUUCCUUGACUAGGUUCUCAUGCUGCCCAAUCUGGCCUUGAACCUCUGGUUCUCUUCCCUCUACCUUCUGAGCUCCAGGAUUAGGCCAUACAGUAAGACCAUCUCAGAAAAAGUGAAAAGGCAAUUGUAAGGGUAGAGGAGGCAACAUGAAGAGAGUGAUCGAGCCCCCGGCAUGAAGCAGAAGCUUUCUUCAUCCUCGUUAUCCUAUCGUGCUCAUUACCAUCAUUAUUAAUUACUACCUUUAUCAUCACGACAAUCGUCUCUAUCUUCUCCUCCGUCUUUAUCACCAUCAUCAUCACCUUCGUCAUCAUCAUCACCUUCGUCAUCAUCAUCACCUUCGUCGUCAUCAUCAUCAUCAUCACCUUCGUCGUCGUCAUCAUCAUCACCUUCAUUGUCAUCAUCACCAUCAUUAUCAUCACCUUCGUCGUCAUCAUCAUCAUCACCUUCGUCGUCGUCAUCAUCAUCUUCGUCAUCAUCAUCACCUUCGUCGUCGUCGUCAUCAUCAUCACCUUCGUCAUCAUUGCUGUCAUCUUUGUAUCUUUCUCGCCAUCAUCAUCUUUAUCUCUGUCAUCACUGUCGGCAUUGUCUGGGACAGGGGACACAUCUGGACCAAGCUGUGGAGGCGAGCUGUGGCUGGUUCAAUGAUACAGCUCCUGCUGGGCAUAUGUGAAGGCUAUUCCAUAUCUAGUAUUGGGGGAAAAAAUAAAACUUCAUGUAUUAGUUGACCUGUUAUUUUAUUUUUUCACAUUACUUAGAAUAGAUGACAUCUGGCGGGGAAGCGAAGUGAGGUUUCGUGUUAAAACUGCACUAUCUAAAUAAAAAUGUGGUACUUAAAAAUAAACUUUAUUUUCUUAAAAUACUA